rnacentral:tRNA from 1 species
AACUUUAUAUUCAAUAUAAAUGAUAUUAGAUUGCAAUUCUAAAGGAAUAACAAUUAAGUUAUUAAAGUUU